UGAAAUACAAUAUUUGAUUUUUCUUAUCUCUAUAAAACAAAAAAAGAGAAGAAGAAUUCUUUUGAAAGGCUUAGAAUGUCAGCUUGUUUUUUUUUUUUUUUUUUUUUUUUUUUGAAAUACGCACUACAGAAAGAACAACACCUUGAACUUACCUGGGAAACUUCCACAGACUUUAUUAAAAAGAACUUGGUGGAAAUACAUACCACAAGUCAAAGAGAUGAAAUGACCCCAUGGUUCUGCUCAUUAUGAGAAGGAGGAAGAAGAGGAAGAGAAAAGCUCCAAAUGGAGAAGAAAACAUUUAUUCCACAAUUGAAAUACAGUUGGAAUCAUGAUGUAAGUGUGCAGUUACGCUUUUAAGAGGCUGA
rnacentral:lncRNA from 1 species